UCGAGGAUUUUUGGCAAUGAGCGCAAGCUUGACCAAGCGAUGCCGCGUGCGGGAUGAAGGCCUUCGGGUUGUAAACCGCUGUCAGUGUGGAGGAAAACUUGGUGUAUAGCCAAGUUUGACUAAUACGCAGAGGAAGUGAGGGCUAAACUCGUGCCAGCAGCCGCGGUAAGACGAGUCUCACAAACGUUAUUCGGAAUUACUGGGCUUAAAGGGUGCGUAGGCGGUGGAGUAAGUCGGAUGUGAAAUACCUUAGCUUAACUAGGGAACUGCACUCGAUACUACUUUGCUAGAGUAAGACAGAGGUGAGUGGAACUGAGGGUGGAGCGGUGAAAUGCGUUGAUAUCCUCAGGAACACCGGUGGCGAAGGCGACUCACUGGGUCUUUACUGACGCUGAUGCACGAAAGCUAGGGUAGCAAACGG
rnacentral:rRNA from 1 species